GUAGGUGAACCUGCGGAGGGAUCAUUACUGAGCGAGGGCCCUCGGGCUCGACCUCCAACCCUUUGUGAACACAACUUGUUGCUUUGGGGGCGACCCUGCCGAUUCGCGUCGGCGAGCGCCCCCGGAGGCCUUCAAACCCUGCAUCUUUGCGUCGGAGUUUAAGUAAAUUUAAACAAAACUUUCAACAACGGAUCUCUUGGUUCUG
rnacentral:misc_RNA from 1 species